rnacentral:rRNA from 1 species
AUCCUGGCUCAGGAUGAACGCUAGCGGCAGGCUUAACACAUGCAAGUCGAGGGGUAGGGUUCUUCGGAACUUGAGACCGGCGCACGGGUGCGUAACGCGUAUGCAAUCUACCUUUUACAGAGGGAUAGCCCAGAGAAAUUUGGAUUAAUACCUCAUAGCAUAGCAGCUUCGCAUGAAGCCACUAUUAAAGUCACAACGGUAAAAGAUGAGCAUGCGUCCCAUUAGCUAGUUGGUAAGGUAACGGCUUACCAAGGCUACGAUGGGUAGGGGUCCUGAGAGGGAGAUCCCCCACACUGGUACUGAGACACGGACCAGACUCCUACGGGAGGCAGCAGUGAGGAAUAUUGGACAAUGGGCGCAAGCCUGAUCCAGCCAUGCCGCGUGCAGGAUGACGGUCCUAUGGAUUGUAAACUGCUUUUAUACGAGAAGAAACACUACUUCGUGAAGUAGCUUGACGGUAUCGUA